rnacentral:tRNA from 1 species
GGCAGUGUAGCAUAGUGGUAAAGAGCAGGGCUUUCAACCAAAAGGUUGCCGGUUCGAUUCCCCACUGUGC